rnacentral:rRNA from 1 species
UGGGGAAUAUUGCACAAUGGGCGCAAGCCUGAUGCAGCCAUGCCGCGUGUAUGAAGAAGGCCUUUGGGUUGUAAAGUACUUUCAGCGGGGAGGAAGGGAGUAAAGUUAAUACCUUUACUCAUUGACGUUACCCGCAGAAGAAGCACCGGCUAACUCCGUGCCAGCAGCCGCGGUAAUACGGAGGGUGCAAGCGUUAAUCGGAAUUACUGGGCGUAAAGCGCACGCAGGCGGUUUGUUAAGUCAGAUGUGAAAUCCCCGGGCUCAACCUGGGAACUGCAUCUGAUACUGGCAAGCUUGAGUCUCGUAGAGGGGGGUAGAAUUCCAGGUGUAGCGGUGAAAUGCGUAGAGAUCUGGAGGAAUACCGGUGGCGAAGGCGGCCCCCUGGACGAAGACUGACGCUCAGGUGCGAAAGCGUGGGGAGCAAACA